CAAUAGCGUAUAUUAAAGUUGUUGCAGUUAAAAAGCUCGUAGUUGGAUUUCUGGUGGGAGCGAUCGGUCUGGCGCUUAGCGCGAGUACUUGCAUCGUCUCCGGCCAUCCUUGGGGAGAGUCUGUCUGGCAUUAAGUUGUCGGGCAGAGGAUCCUCAUCGUUUACUGUGAAAAAAUUAGAGUGUUCAAAGCAGGCUUAUGCCGUUGAAUAUAUUAGCAUGGAAUAAUAAGAUAGGACUUUGGUACUAUUUUGUUGGUUUGCGCACCAAAGUAAUGAUUAAUAGGGACAGUUGGGGGUAUUCGUAUUCCGUUGUCAGAGGUGAAAUUCUUGGAUUUACGGAAGACGAACUACUGCGAAAGCAUUUGCCAAGGAUGUUUUCAUUAA
rnacentral:rRNA from 1 species